rfam:Larimichthys crocea isolate SSNF unplaced genomic scaffold scaffold205, whole genome shotgun sequence.
GCUUACGGCCAUACCAACCUGAAUGCGCCUGAUCUCAUCUGAUCUCGGAAGCUAAGCAGGGUCACGCCUGGUUAGUACUUGGAUGCAAGACCGCCUGGGAAUACCAGGUGCUGUAAGCU